GCGUCGGUAGUGCAGUGGUUAGCACGCGCACCAGGAAAGACUGAGGCGAGGGUACAACUCCUGCCCGAGGUU